rnacentral:misc_RNA from 1 species
GCUUUUAUUUUAAGCUGCUGCGAAUCUCGAUAACUUUCUUGACCCAUGAGAAACACCCCCACCCCCAACCGCCUUUUUUUAAUUUGUUUGUUUUAAUUUGCAAGACCAAAAAAGGUGGUGAUGGUUAUGGUGUUAAUGUUGGAGCCAUUCUUUGCUCCAUCUUGAGGCAACUUGAUUUUUUUAAAAGGCCAUAAAGUAAUCCCAUUUCUUCAUCAAUAAUUUAGUCUUCAUUUCUAAAUUUUAUUGCAUUGCAAUGAAUGCUCUUUAUUGUCUAAUCUUGGCCUUUUCUUGUUUAUCGCUUGGGUAAUGUCUGGGCACAUUGGUUGAGAGCUGCAGAUUCUGAUAGGG